GCUGGGCACAGUGGUGCAUGCCUGUAAUCCCAGCUGCUAGGGAGGCUGAGACAGGAGGAGUGGGAGUUCACAGCCAGCCUCAGCAAUGGUGAGGCCCUAAGCAAUUCAGUGAGACCCUGUCUCUA
rnacentral:sRNA from 1 species